CCGGAGUCGGUCGCGCAGCGCCGCGGCGCUGCCGUCGGGAUCGACGGGCAGCAGGGCGAGUUCGGCGGAGUCGACGUUCGAACCGUCGACGCCGGC
rnacentral:tRNA from 1 species